CUGCGUGCCUGGUCUCCCGACCUGUUAGAGUGGCGUAUGCUGCUUCUGCUCCUUGGAUCUCUUCCACCCUGUGGAUCCAUUCUUUUUUAGUAGGUAUGUCGGUUUGUUUCCAGUGAGCUGGGAUGUUGGCUUUGGCGGCAUUAAGCAAGUGCCGCAGUAUCGAUUUCUUAUACAAAGAUAUGGAUAAUGGUGUGAUGUGUAGUAAUGCCAGUUCUGCGUUCCAAUCCGGAAGGUCCCCCAGGAUGAGUACGAUUGUUUCCUUGAUCAUUUCCCAGUAUGGGGUUAUGGCUCCGCAUUCCCACCAGAUGUGUAGUACCGUUCCACGUGUCUCCUGACACCUCCAACACAUCGGUGAUAUUGAGGGAAAUAUACGAUGUAGUAAGGUAGGUGUCCUAUACCAGAGAGAAAUUAGUUUAUAGUUCAUUUCUUGAUAGUAAGAGCUCAUUGAGCUUUUAUGCUGCCAGAGCAACGCCGUAUCCCAUUGCUGUGUCGAGAGGGAUUGUCCAAGUUGUUCUUCCCAUUGCCGUUUGAACGUUGUGACCGCUGUCGAUUGACCGGUCAAGAGGUGUUGAUACAGUGCAGAAAUAGCGUGUUCUAUAGCUGUGCCACGAUCACAGAGGGUCUCAAACCACGUGAGAUCUCUAUGUAGUUUAUCCUUGUGUGGUAGUGUUUCGUAGAAGUGUUUCAAUUGGAAAUAUCUGAAUCGGAAGAGAUGCGUCUGAGGGCUGUCUCCUAGCAUCGAGGGAAGAGUCCGUAGCCUUCCGCCCUCAAGAGCCUUGUGUAUAGGUAUAUAUGUGCCAUCCUCUUGCAAAGGCCAGGCUCCCGAGGGGAGUCCCCCCCUAUCGCUUCAUUAUGUGUAAUUGGUAUCAUCGGGCUGGGGGAGGGAGAGAUGUGGUCCUGUCGUCUUACAGAUAUCCAGCUUAUCAGGGUCUGUAGUGUCAAUCCUUCCUUGGUAAGAUGAGUUGGUGGUCGCCUCGAGUGACCCCAAACCUGCGCCUCCAGCGAUGGUCCGAUUAGACCUCUAUCGAGCUCUACCCAUUGUUUAGUUGAAGGUGUUGUGUGCCAGUCUAGUAUACGUUGCAUGCUUGCAGCUUGGUAGUACUUCUUAAAGUCGGGUACUGCCAGACCUCCGUGAAUUCUAGGUCGGCACAAUAUGUCAUGUCGGAUCCUGGAGCGUCCUCCCCUCCAAAUAAACUUGAGCACUGCUGUUUUCAGGGUGGAAAAGAAAGCUGAUGGCAGAGCGAGAGGUAUAGUUUGCAUAAGGUACAGGAUCCUCGGGAGAAUGUUCAUUUUAAUUACCGCAACCCUUCCGUGCCAUGUUAUGUGCGGAUGGUUCCAUCUGGUUAGGUCCGUGAGUACAGCUUUUAAUAAGGGCGCAAAGUUG